GGGGACGGACGGCGCGCGCCGGGAGCGGGCUCUCGCGUCCCGACGGGGGCGGGCGGCCCCUGCCCUCAGGGAAGCCGAGGCGGCGGUCGCUCCCUCCCGCUGCCGCCGGGCUCAUCGUCCCUCCUGGUCAGCCCGGCGCGCCGGCCGGGAUCUCCCGUGGUCCGUGAGUGGGGAAAACGGCGCCGGCCGUGCGUGGAGGCUCCCCGCAGCCCGCCUGCUCCCGGCUUCUGAGCGAGUGCAGGGCUUCGUCACCGCGCCCUGCCGGGAGCCGGCUCUGCGGGACUCCUUGCAAACCAAGGAUUUUGGUUUGCACCGCAGCAAAAAGCGUUCAGGCGCGCUCCCAGAGGAAGAGCCGCACACCAAAGGGCACGGAGCAAACGAACACAAACUUAAGUUUAUUCCUGGGUCGGGAAGUUCCCCGAGCCCCCGGUCCAGGGCUGGCAGGGCGCUGGGGGCUGUCUCUGUGCCGCUGCCCCGAGUCCCUGCAGCGCUGCGGACCCAACCCGCCAGCACAGUGCUCCAUCUGACCCAGAGCAGCGGUUCCUGUGUCCUCUGAUCCCGUCCUGACGGAACACGAUUACAUCAGAGUGAGCAGAGCCUUACCUCAUUCACCAUCACCUUGAUAUAGGUACAACCUUGCAAGUUUUGGCAGAAGACCGUCAUCACUGAGAAAGAUGUAAAAAAGCAGGAGUAGAAUCCAGGCCUUCACCAUGUGGAAAAUGUGUGGAGCCAAGCUUUCAGGUUGCUGCACUACCUGCUCAGGCUUGAGCAGGCUUGGAAACCACGUUAGAAGUUUUUCAGAAUGUUCUCUCAGGAAGAUUUUUCUUGCAUCUAGAGAGACUGAUUUUCACAAGACCUGUAGAAACUUAAUUAUCUCCUGGUUUUCUGCUUCUCCCCUGAGAGCUUGCAUUGAAAAGUGCCAGUGGGUUUGAAAGUUAUUAAAGGGAGACAGAUGAACAGGCAGACGGCAUGACUGCAUAAGCCUCAUUUCCUUAGGAAAUCAAGUGGAAAUAUUUGUAUAGUUUAUAUACAACACAAUAUGGUUUGUGUCUGUCUAUUACAUUGAAUGUUGUUGUUGAGCUUAUAUGUUCCAUUGUUGUGUUUCAUCCAAUCCCAAGUUUCCAAAAAUAUUUCUUUGGAGCUUUUGCAACUUCUUUUCAUGUAUCUCAUAGGAACCUGGGACAUGAAGGAGGAUCCUGGGUCAUUAUGUCCACACUCCUGCUGAGGUACAUGAACUGUAAAAGUUGAAAGAGGAAAGUACUGUAUAAUAAACUUCUGGUUGGUACAGUGGGAAAGCUAAUGAGACAAAUGAAACCUUCAGUGUGGCCUUUACAAGGCGGGAAGUCACAGCAUGGGGCAGUCCCCUUGCAAAUUCUGGAUCAUUAGCUUAUCUUCUGCAGCAGCAAAGAUGCUAGAGAUUUCAGAGGAUGAAUGAAUUUUCCCCUUUACAAUGAAGGUGUACGAAGUAUUCACAUUUUCUAUAGAGAAUCCUGGGGAGAAGAUCGCUGAUUUUUUCAUAUGUAAAAGGAGUUUUCAAAUGUUAAAUGUGUUUACACAGAGGAAACUCUUUGGCCCAGGGAGAGGAGAGAGAUCCCAUGGCAUUUAAAUGUACUCGCAUAACAUCUUGAUACAUAUGAGACAUGUUUGGCAUUCUUUAAGAUUUUCCUGAAGAAAACAAGAACCCAGAAAUCCUUACAUGAAACAAGACAGCAGAUGAAAACUGAUGGCAGUUUCUUAUUAUAUACAGGGCACAAGGAAACAAUAGUAUAAGAUUAUUUCUGAAGUAACUUCAUAAUGCUAGAAAGAGAAUCAGAAAAUAUAAUGUUAAAGACUACAAAUGACUGUGUCUCAGGAUAUGUGUCGCUUGCCUUAAGACCUUUGUGCUCUGACUGCUAGUAUUAAAUGUAUUUCCUUAAUGUAUGCAGAUACUUGUAGGUUGUUAAGGACACUUCUAGAAUAUUUAUAUUCCAAAAUGUCUAGACUGCUUCAAAUCUCAGUGAUGAAAUGACCUCUACAUAGUUAUAAAAGAUUCAGCUGCUUUGAAAAAGUUACAAUCUGAUGGAAGAAAUAGAACAAUAACAUACUUGGCAAUUUCUAGAAAACAAACAAAAAAGAAAACAGCUUUGAAAAUAUCACCUUUUUGAUACUUAAAAUAGAUGCACUCAAAAUAGGAAAAUCCUCUCAGAAUAGUUUCAAAUCAUUUUGCUUCUUGAAAGGAGAGCUGA